rnacentral:rRNA from 1 species
GGGGGGUAAGCUUCAUUGUCAAGAGGGAAACAGCCCAGAUCACCAUUUAAGGCCCCUAAAUAAUUACUAAGUGAUAAAGGAUGUAAGAUUACAUAGACAACCAGGAGGUUCGCUUAGAAGCAGCUAUUCCUUUAAAAAGUGCGUAAUAGCUUACUGGUCAAGUGAUUUUGCGCCGAAAAUGAAUGGGACUAAGUAAUUUGCCGAAGAUGUGGGAAUUUCAGUAGAAGAGCGUUCUGUAGUAAUUAGAAGCAAUAGUGUAAACAGUUGUGGAUGAUACAGAAGUGAGAAUGUCAGCUUAAGUAACGAAAACAUUGGUGGAAAUCCAAUGCCCCGUAAACCUAAGGGUUCCUUAGCCAGGUUCGUCCACUAAGGGUUAGUCAGAGCCUAAAAUGAGGUUUAACUACGUAAUUGAUGGAUAACAGGUUAAUAUUCCUGUACUAUUUUUAUUUUGCUAAGAAUAACGAAAAAGGCUAUAUAAUCCAAAGUUUGGUUGUUUUGGUUUAAUCUUUCGAGGUAUUGAGAAUAUAAAAAAAAUAUUUUUAGCUGAGAGGAGAAUACGAUAGAUACUAAGGUAUCAAAAGUUAUUUAUGUCAUAUUUCCAAGAAAAACUCUUGUAGCUUAUAAUAAAAAUAUCUGUACCGUAAACUGACACAGGUGGGUUAGUAGAGAAUACUAAGGGGCGCGAGAUAACUCUUUCUAAGGAACUCGGCAAAAUAACUCCGUAACUUCGGGAGAAGGAGUGCCUCAUUUUGAGGUCGCAGUGACCAGGCCCAAGCGACUGUUUACCAAAAACACAGGUCUCCGCUAAGUUGAAAAACAAUGUAUGGGGGCUGACGCCUGCCCAGUGCCGGAAGGUUAAAGAAAUUGGUUAGCUUUUGCGAAGCUAGUGACUGAAGCCCUGGUGAACGGCGGUUGUAACUAUAACAAUCCUAAGGUAGCGAAAUUCCUUGUCGGGUAAGUUCCGACCCGCACGAAAGGCGUAACGAUUUGGGCACUGUCUCGGAAAGAGACUCGGUGAAAUAGAAUUGACUGUGAAGAUGCGGUCUACUUGCACUUGGACAGAAAGACCCUAUGAAGCUUUACUGUAACUUGAGACUGGUUUUGGGCUUUUCUUGCGCAGAAUAGGUGGGAGGCUAAGAAUCUUUUUUCCGGAAUUUGAUGAGCCAUAAUAUGAGAUACCACUCUAGAAAAGUUAGAAAUCUAAUAGUAUUUUUAAUCCAGAUACUUGACACUUUCAGGCGGGCAGUUUUACUGGGGCGGUAGCCUCCUAAAAGGUAACGGAGGCGUACAAAGGUUUUCUCAGUCUAGACGGAAAUUAGUUGUAGAGUGUAAAGACAUAAGAAAGCUUGACUGUGAGACAAAUAAGUCAAACAGAGACUAAAGUCGGUCUUAGUGACCCGACGGUUCUGAAUGGAAAGGCCGUCGUUCAACAGAUAAAAGUUACUCUAGGGAUAACAGGCUGAUCUCCCCCAAGAGUUCAUAUCGACGGGGAGGUUUGGCACCUCGAUGUCGGCUCAUCGCAACCUGGGGCGGUAGUACGUCCCAAGGGUUGGGCUGUUCGCCCAUUAAAGCGGUACGUGAGCUGGGUUCAGAACGUCGAGAGACAGUUCGGUCCAUAUCCGGUGUGAGCGUUAGAGCAUUGAAAGGAGCUUUCCUUAGUACGAGAGGACCGGGAAGGAUACACCACUGGUGUGCCAGUUUUUGUGCCAACAGAAAAUGCUGGGUAGCCAAGUGUAGAGUGGAUAACUGCGAAAAAGCAUA